rnacentral:rRNA from 1 species
CAAGUCGAGGGGAAACGAUAGAGAAAGCUCGCUUUUUCUAGGCGUCGACCGGCGCACGGGUGAGUAACGCGUAUCCAACCUGCCCACCACUUGGGAAUAACCUUGCGAAAGUAAGACUAAUACCCAAUGAUAUCUCUAGAAGACAUCUGAAGGAGAUUAAAGAUUUAUCGGUGAUGGAUGGGGAUGCGUCUGAUUAGCUUGUUGGCGGGGUAACGGCCCACCAAGGCGACGAUCAGUAGGGGUUCUGAGAGGAAGGUCCCCCACAUUGGAACUGAGACACGGUCCAAACUCCUACGGGAGGCAGCAGUGAGGAAUAUUGGUCAAUGGACGAGAGUCUGAACCAGCCAAGUAGCGUGCAGGAUGACGGCCCUAUGGGUUGUAAACUGCCUUUAUAAGGGAAUAAAGUGAGAGUCGUGACUCUUUUUGCAUGUACCUUAUGAAUAAGGACCGGCUAAUUCCGUGCCAGCAGCCGCGGUAAUACGGAAGGUCCGGGCGUUAUCCGGAUUUAUUGGGUUUAAAGGGAGCGUAGGCCGGAGAUUAAGCGUGUUGUGAAAUGUAGAUGCUCAACGUCUGCACUGCAGCGCGAACUGGUUUCCUUGAGUACGCACAAAGUGGGCGGAAUUCGUGGUGUAGCGGUGAAAAUGCUUAGAUAUCACGAAGAACUCCGAUUGCGAAGGCAGCUCACUGGAGCG